GGGCGCAUAGCUCAGUGGGAGAGCGCACGUUUUGCAAUGCAAAUUCUACGUGAGGUCCAGGGUUCAAUCCCCUGUCCGUCCA
rnacentral:tRNA from 1 species